AGGGUUCGAUUCUGGCUCAGGAUGAACGCUGGCGGCGUGCUUAACACAUGCAAGUCGAACGGGAUCCAUCAGGCUUUGCUUGGUGGUGAGAGUGGCGAACGGGUGAGUAAUGCGUGACCGACCUGCCCCAUACACCGGAAUAGCUCCUGGAAACGGGUGGUAAUGCCGGAUGCUCCAGUUGAUCGCAUGGUCUUCUGGGAAAGCUUUCGCGGUAUGGGAUGGGGUCGCGUCCUAUCAGCUUGACGGCGGGGUAACGGCCCACCGUGGCUUCGACGGGUAGCCGGCCUGAGAGGGCGACCGGCCACAUUGGGACUGAGAUACGGCCCAGACUCCUACGGGAGGCAGCAGUGGGGAAUAUUGCACAAUGGGCGCAAGCCUGAUGCAGCCAUGCCGCGUGUAUGAAGAAGGCCUUCGGGUUGUAAAGUACUUUCAGCGGGGAGGAAGGGAGUAAAGUUAAUACCUUUGCUCAUUGACGUUACCCGCAGAAGAAGCACCGGCUAACUCCGUGCCAGCAGCCGCGGUAAUACGGAGGGUGCAAGCGUUAAUCGGAAUUACUGGGCGUAAAGCGCACGCAGGCGGUUUGUUAAGUCAGAUGUGAAAUCCCCGGGCUCAACCUGGGAACUGCAUCUGAUACUGGCAAGCUUGAGUCUCGUAGAGGGGGGUAGAAUUCCAGGUGUAGCGGUGAAAUGCGUAGAGAUCUGGAGGAAUACCGGUGGCGAAGGCGGCCCCCUGGACGAAGACUGACGCUCAGGUGCGAAAGCGUGGGGAGCAAACAGGAUUAGAUACCCUGGUAGUCCACGCCGUAAACGAUGAGUGCUAAGUGUUGGAGGGUUUCCGCCCUUCAGUGCUGCAGCAAACGCAUUAAGCACUCCGCCUGGGGAGUACGACCGCAAGGUUGAAACUCAAAGGAAUUGACGGGGGCCCGCACAAGCGGUGGAGCAUGUGGUUUAAUUCGAAGCAACGCGAAGAACCUUACCAGGUCUUGACAUCCUUUGACCACUCUAGAGAUAGAGCUUUCCCUUCGGGGACAAAGUGACAGGUGGUGCAUGGUUGUCGUCAGCUCGUGUCGUGAGAUGUUGGGUUAAGUCCCGCAACGAGCGCAACCCUCGCCCCGUGUUGCCAGCGGAUUAUGCCGGGAACUCACGGGGGACCGCCGGGGUUAACUCGGAGGAAGGUGGGGAUGACGUCAGAUCAUCAUGCCCCUUACGUCCAGGGCUUCACGCAUGCUACAAUGGCCGGUACAACGGGAUGCGACGCGGCGACGCGGAGCGGAUCCCUGAAAACCGGUCUCAGUUCGGAUCGCAGUCUGCAACUCGACUGCGUGAAGGCGGAGUCGCUAGUAAUCGCGAAUCAGCAACGUCGCGGUGAAUGCGUUCCCGGGCCUUGUACACACCGCCCGUCAAGUCAUGAAAGUGGGCAGCACCCGAAGCCGGUGGCCUAACCCCUUGUGGGAUGGAGCCGUCUAAGGUGAGGCUCGUGAUUGGGACUAAGUCGUAACAAGGUAGCCGUACCGGAAGGUGCGGCUG
rnacentral:rRNA from 1 species